UACAGAGGUGGCAAGCGUUGUUCGGAAUUACUGGGCGUAAAGGGCGCGUAGGCGGCCAUCUAAGUCAGCCGUGAAAUCCCCCGGCUUAACCUGGGAACUGCGUCUGAUACUGGACGGCUCGAGUAUGGGAGAGGGAUGUAGAAUUCCAGGUGUAGCGGUGAAAUGCGUAGAUAUCUGGAGGAAUACCGGUGGCGAAGGCGGCAUCCUGGACCAUUUACUGACGCUGAGGCGCGAAAGCUAGGGGAGCAAACGGG
rnacentral:rRNA from 1 species